rnacentral:rRNA from 1 species
GAUUUUAGCAUGGAAUAAUGGAAUAGGACGUCGCGGUUCUAUUUUGUUGGUUUCUAGGACCGCCGUAAUGAUUAAUAGGGAUGGUCGGGGGCGUCAGUAUUCGGCUGUCAGAGGUGAAAUUCUUGGAUUUGCCGAAGACUAACUACUGCGAAAGCAUUCGCCAAGGAUGUUUUCAUUAAUCAGUGAACGAAAGUUAGGGGAUCGAAGACGAUCAGAUACCGUCGUAGUCUUAACCAUAAACUAUGCCGACUAGGGAUCGGACGAUGUUAUAUUUUGACUCGUCCGGCACCUUACGAGAAAUCAAAGUGCUUGGGCUCCUGGGGGAGUAUUGCCGCAAGGCCGAAACUUAAAGAAAUUGACGGAAGGGCACCACCAGGAGUGGAGCCUGCGGCUUAAUUUGACUCAACAUGGGGAAACUCACCAGGUCCAGACACAAUGAGGAUUGACAGAUUGAGAGCUCUUUCUUGAUUUUGUGGGUGGUGGUGCAUGGCCGUUCUUAGUUGGUGGAGUGAUUUGUCUGCUUAAUUGCGAUAACGAACGAGACUUUCACCUGCUAAAUAGCCCGUAUUGCUUUGGCAGUACGCUGGCUUCUUAGAGGGACUUUCGGCUCAAGCCGGAGGAAGUUGGAAGCAAUAACAGGUCUGUGAUGCCCUUAGAUGUUCUGGGCCGCACGCGCGCUACACUGACGGAGCCAGCGAGUACUUCCUUGACCGAAAGGUCCGGGUAAUCUUGUGAAACUCCGUCGUGCUGGGGAUAGAGCAUUGCAUA